GGACAGCUGACUUCCGGACUGGCGGUGGAGCGGGCGAGCGUUGACUUCUGAGGCCCCCAUUCAGCCCUCGAGGUGGGAGAACGGGCGGGGCUACAACGGGAGGUCGCCUACGUAGCCCCAGAGGCGGCCGCGUGGUGUGGUGUGCGCGCCCGGGCGCUGAGCACAAAGCGUUUGGGGUCACAACCCUUAGAAAGUCCGCAGAGGAAGGUGAGAUGGAGAAGGACCCUACCUGGAACAGGAGAGCCUCCACAACACGGCCACUGCCUGCUUCAGUGACCUCCAAACUGGGAUGGUCAAGACGAUCUGUGGAGUGCUAGAAAAACAUACUAGAGCUUGUAUUCCUACUUAUUUUAUGUUUUUAUAUCUAUUGUCAUGUGUCUUAUAAUUUACAUAAGAUUAAUACACAGUGCAUAUUACCUUAUAGAGAAAUAUACAUACAUGGAUAUGUAUAACCCUAGAUGUUUUAUCAAUAUAGGCACAAUGUCAAA